rnacentral:rRNA from 1 species
AAUAGAUACCCUGGUAGUCCAUGCCGUAAACGUUGGGCACUAGGUGUGGGGGACAUUCCACGUUUUCCGCGCCGUAGCUAACGCAUUAAGUGCCCCGCCUGGGGAGUACGGCCGCAAGGCUAAAACUCAAAGGAAUUGACGGGGGCCCGCACAAGCGGCGGAGCAUACGGAUUAAUUCGAUGCAACGCGAAGAACCUUACCAAGGCUUGACAUGGUCCAGACCGGGCUAGAGAUAGUCCUUCCCUUCGGGGCUGGUUCACAGGUGGUGCAUGGUUGUCGUCAGCUCGUGUCGUGAGAUGUUGGGUUAAGUCCCGCAACGAGCGCAACCCUCGUUCCAUGUUGCCAGCACGUAGUGGUGGGGACUCAUGGGAGACUGCCGGGGUCAACUCGGAGGAAGGUGGGGAUGACGUCAAAUCAUCAUGCCCCUUAUGUCUUGGGCUUCACGCAUGCUACAAUGGCCGGUACAAUGGGUUGCGAUACUGUGAGGUGGAGCUAAUCCCUAAAAGCCGGUCUCAGUUCGGAUUGGGGUCUGCAACUCGACCCC